rnacentral:tRNA from 1 species
GGGGCGGUAACUCAGAGGCCAGAGUGCUUAGCUGUUAACUAAGAAGUCAUUGGUUCAAAUCCAAUCCGUCCCG